rfam:Morus notabilis contig19362, whole genome shotgun sequence.
UGAAUCUUUGGAAUUGUUGAAUGCUCAGAUUAUGAUUCUUGGGCAUUUUGAUUCAUUUAUUUAAUGAAUAGGAAGAUCUGAUGC